rnacentral:lncRNA from 1 species
AGGCUCUCAGUUUGAGACCCACCUUCUUAUACACUAAGAAAGCUCAGGAGAAAAUGAGUGACCCCUGAGAAGGAAGGAGGGCCUUGGGGACCCUGUGACUACCGCUCCUCUAACACAGUAACACCACAAGGAAGUAGGGAUCCGAGGAUCCUCCAGGUCACCACUACACCACCUGGGGAGAUGCAGGGCUGCAAUGCAGCUCUGCCAGGGAGGGGUUAGGUGGGGUGUGAAGUUGCUCUGCAGGGCCAGGCAGUACUACCCGAUGGCCAGCCCCACCCAGAAGCCAGAGCGACCUAGGCCUCAGCUGCUCCCUCUCAGGCAGGGCGGAGUCACCCCUUAGGGACUGGACAGGACGCCCGGGGCGCAGCUGCAGUUCAUCCUCCACGAGAGGAAACCUGGCAGCCCAGGGAGGACUGGGGCCUGCAGACUUCGGGGCCGACAGCAGAGGUCCUGCGCCGCCACGGCGGGUUCCGAGGGUUCCACACCAUCUCUUCCCCCGUCUCUGAAUGCCGUAGCACACACUCACCAUUUUCGGCUUCCGGGGUUCCAGCGAUCUCCCGGUGGAUCUGCCACCGACGCAGGUCACGGGGCGAAGGGGAAAGAAGCAGAGUCACGUGAGCCAACAAAGCGGAAGAGAAGACUCGACCCUAAAAUGGCGCGGUCCGGAUACAAAGGCCCGGGAGUAGCCCGCCCCUUCCGCUCUGGUUGUGAGUCUGAUUGGACAGUUCUCAAUUGCCCUCAGCCUCUGAAUGACAGUAAAUGACACCAACCCGUGGUUGAGAAAGGCCAUCAACGCACGUUCUUGGCUGCAGCUAUUUUUUUUCCUUGCUGUGCUGGAUAUUGAACCCAGAGACUGUGGCUGGAGUUAUUUUUAAAUGAGGACUUCCUUCAUCUACUUGACACAUGGCUGGAUUCCUGGAAGGACAGCAGAGCGGAGAUGGGCCAUGUGUGCCUGUGUUCUUGCCUUCACUGCAAAACUGAACAACUGCAAAGCAAGCAGGUGUCUACCCUCAAGCUCAGGCCCUGCUGUCUCCUGCACUCACCCUGCACCCCACACUUCAUCACAGGCUAGCAGGGGCCAGGAUGCUGCUCUUUUCUUCAGCCAGGGGAUUGUGCUUCUCCCAAAGAAAGCCCUUCUGCAGCCUGAGCUGCUCAGGUGCCUUCCUGCCACUCCUUUCCUGCAUCCACCACAGAGCCUAGGAACCCAGAUCGGGCCCCUCACUGCCAGGAAAGUCUUUGCUGGAGAAUGUGGGCAUGAAGUUGCCAACCAAUCCAUAGGUAAGCCUGAGACUGCCCCUGGCCACCAGGAUGAAAAGCUGAGAAGAAAUACAUGGUAGGAGGGAUUUUACCUACGCUCUCAUCUGAAGGCUGAUCGAAGGUGGGGACACAAUAGAUACGCACAAUGGGGGAGGUGGGUUUAACAUGAAGCCUGACCUCUGAACUAUUCAGGCAGGGACAUCAGGCACUAGAGGAACUUCACCAACAUCAUGCUCCUGGGCCAGCAGUAUGCCUCGCACCCUUUCCUGGUGAAGGUGCCAGUCUGCAUCCAAGUCCUCAUGGAGUUCAAAGCCAUCUUUGGCACUGACUUUGCUGCUAUGCAGAAGAUCAGGCCUGCUUUUCCCUUCCACUAGGAGCUUCCCCUGCGCCGGAUGUAGUCUCUCACUGCCUUUUCCUGUGUUCACAGUUUCACUGUGAGAAGGUGGGACUUUCCUGAUGGCCGACCUUACCACUGCUUGCCCCUGGGCUCCUCCUGUGCCCUACUCACAGGGCCUUAUUCUCAGGCCCAAGAAAGUGAAUCCCAUCUGGAAAGUUUGGAGUCCAGAAUAGCCUUCUAGAGUCAGCAGCCUGCUAGGAACCUGGCUUCCAGAGAAAAGACAGAAGCAGCUAAUUCAGCUCAUCCUGAAUAAACACUGGGCCUCUCGACCAUGCUCCCAUCUGACCUUUCCCAUUCAGUGCCGCUCAGGGUUGGCUUCCCACCCAGCCUUUGCAGGGACUGUGGGAGCAGCAGCCUCCACCACAGUACCUAGCAUCUCAGAGGUGAGGCUCAUCCUGCCUCUGCCCUUCCUAGCUAAAAUGAGCUGUUUUCCAGCUGUUUUGGACUAUUUACCUCUCAGCUAAACUAAAGAGGCCCCGUGUCCAGGCCCCUGGUGUCCAUAACCCCCUUCACAUCCAAGCUGCACCCAUCCCCUCACNNNNNNNNNNNNNNNNNNNNNNNNNNNNNNNNNNNNNNNNNNNNNNNNNNNNNNNNNNNNNNNNNNNNNNNNNNNNNNNNNNNNNNNUCUUCAGCCCUGCACUGCUGUUUCAUCUUCCUGGCUUGGCUUCAGUUCCUCCCUGGAAUCGGCAGCACUUCCCUCCCUCUCCCUCUCAGUCACUUGAGCAAACUCCAGGACACCUUCUGCACUGAUCAGGAGUCACACCAAGGGCCAUUAGCUGCUCAGCAUGACUAUUUUUAGAGACCUCGUGUCUGUCACUGAGACACUUUUUCCUGUGGAAACAUACCAUUCUCUCCCUCUACCUGCAACAGCUGCCCCUGCUCCCGGCACCUCUCUUCUCACCCUGACCCAGAGAAAGUGGCCUUGGUCUCCUCUGGCCACUGCCUGGAGUCCACGAGGAAGGAGGACAGUUCUGGCUCUGAGGAGAUAUUUGCUUCGACUGCCACGUCUUCCUGAGGAACAGUGCACAGCUGGCUUGGGCUCAGGUCUCUCGUUCCUCUUCUUUAUUGAUUCAUGGUGCUUUUCCUCUCAAAGCCUCUUUGAGGAGAAGAAUGCUCUGGUGAGGGGUGGGUAGGGCAUGGUCACGUCGGAGAGCCGACCACAGGCCAGUGGCACAUGGCACUUCCCAUGUGCCUGGAGUCACAGAGCUGGGACAGCCCUCCACAGUCUCCAGCCCUCCAUGGGCAGCAGUGGCUGAGAGCAGCAGGCCAAGAAGGCCCUCCUGGCUGCUUCCUCAGGAGCGCAGCCUGAGUGGGGGUUGAAGGAGGGAGGAAUGGUCCCAAGCCUCCCACCCGGGACGCCCAGUUGUCCUCCUCUUCUCCUAGAGGCCGCUGUAGGGGCAGCAGGGGCAGGGUGAGCCUGUCCUUUGGACAAAGGUUCCUCUCAGCCCUUCCCUAGUCCCUGUCCUAGGUUCUUCCCCAGAGGUACGUAGGUGGGAAAAGGCUAGUGAGGGAGAUUGGUGGGGAAGCUAGUUCACCUGGCCCCUGAGGAAAGAGGUUACGCAAAAUAUCCCCAGGCCCCGGCUAGGGAAGGCAGACCACUUGCCUUCCUUUGCCUGUCAAGACUGACCUGUUAAAGAGAUCCCACACUAGGUCCCCACCUUGGCCUGCAGCUCCCACUGCAACAGGAAAGCUGUAGAUGAGAGGGUACAGGGUGCAGGGGCCAAAUAAAAAUCUCCAAGUGUGGUCACAUACUCUGUUGGCUCCCCUGACCCCCAACACUUCCAGCUAUCUGUUCACUACAAGCUUGUGGAGCUUUGGGCUAUCCUUGAAUCCAGCACUGGCCUUAACAAAAUGUUUAUUGUCUGAGUCCUCACCACCGCACUGUAUGCAUGAUGACACUGCCCCAGAGAGGUUAGGCAAUUUGCCUGGGGUCUCAGGUCAAGGCAGAAACAGAGCUGGGGCACACACCCAACAGUGUUGAGUGCCAGGGCGCUGCUGCUUUACUCUCGGGUAGUGCAUGAUACCAGUGGCUGGGAUUCACAGUUAACAUAAGCUGAAGCAUCCAUAGGCUUAAACAAGUAGGGCUGCGCUCACCCCCAAGUCCUCUGUCUAAAAGUGUUUCAGACCCUAGGCCAUCAGCCCUUGGACAACUCUUGAUGCACAUUCUCUUUUGUCAUGGCUUGAACUGGGUGCGCUGAGAGGAAAUCUCCCCUAAGGAGUCCAUGGCCCAGGCAGGAGAGAUGAGGAUGUUAGGGUGGUCGUUCAGCCUUGCUACUAGCCUAACUGUGAGGUGCGCAGAGCACCCUCAGGGAUGCCAGUGGGGCCAGAGGGGCAGCUGAACUUUGGAUUGGCGUCUUCCUACUGCAGUGGGUGGAAGGUCCCCUCAUUUCAGUCCUGUCCUUCUGCAAUUCCCAUUCCUUGAUGCUGGACAGCUUGGCCUUGCCAGUGCCCCCAGCUUGGCAGAUGGACUCCAAGAGAAUGGCUUGGCCACUGGAGGGAAACUGAGAGGUCCUUGGAAGCUCUCUGACUGGAGCUGGGAGUUGGGGAAGGUUGUAAGGGAAGGCUGCUUGGGCAGGGCUGAGUGGGGACAGUCCUGCCCAGCCUAAAGUCAGGGUGACCUCAAGAGCCCCGCUGUGAGGGAGGGCGCCUCUUUUCCACAGCAGCAGCCAGGUGGUAAAGCUGGGGCUUCUGGGACUGUACAGACGUGUGCUUCUAUAGCCACUAAGUUCAGGGCUCUUCUGUCAGACAUCCCUGGCCCCACCCCAUUUAGGUGCCACUCUGCAACAAUGGACCCUGUGAAUGGCUGACUCGCUGAUAAGUGUGCCAACAUGACACAUGAGCCAACAAAGGAUUUCUGUGCUCUUUCUGGAGGUUGCAGAUAGAUUGGAAGAUAAAAUAUUAAAACUGAAAAUUUGAAAUUUCAAUUUUUAAUACUCCUCUUUUUGCCAUUGUUUUACCUGGGAAUGGGAGAGACAGGGCCCACCUUUUGAGGCUCCCUCUAGCCUGGAGGUUAGAAUUCCACAGCUCUACAGACAGUUUGGAAACCACUAUUCUAUGAAAGCUGGAAUAAAACAUUUGAAAGAAGAGCUUUUCUACAAAUCUGUGACUUAUGACUACUUAACCUGUAGAAGUUCCUUCAGAGAUCCAGAAACUGGAUAGCUCAAGGUGCCCACUUGGCUCACCCCCUACCUGAAGUGGGUACACUGCUGCUGCUGCUGCUGCUGCUCCUGCUGGUGCUGCUGCUGCUGCUGCUGUCCUCCCUGAGGCCUUGGCCAGCUGAGGCAGUAGUCUGGGGUAGGGGUAAGGAUGUGCUGGCCAGCACUGCAGGAGCUGGGGGGAGCAGUGAAGGUGGCAGCGGGGGACUAUGAGCGCCCUGUUCUCUAGAUCUGGAACACAGGUGUGAGACUGGAUGCCUGGGGGCGGAGGCUGAGCCAGGGAGUCUCCCGGCCCAAUCUUCACCCUGGCUCCCAGCUUACCUGGUUUGGGGGACUCAGCCACCUCUGUAUGGAAGGUAGGCAGUUCCAGAAUGGUCCCAGGGCAGAGGGGGUGAUGCCCAGGCCCAGGUCAGCACUGUGCAUGAGGUCAUCAGUGAGGCUGGGCAUGUUGGGCAGGUAGGGUAGCAUGCCAGUCCUAGGUGUGCCAGGCCACCAGGUGCGGCAUAUGUGGUCACCACCCAGGUCUGA